UGACAGACUGACAGAGACAGACAGGCGCCAGAGACUGACAGACUGACAGAGACAGACGGGCACCAGAGACUGACAGAGACUGUUGGGGCAUCGGAUGCUGAUGAGAAGACUGGAGAUGCCCAGUGCCCGACUGGUUGCUCUUGUAUUGGUGGAGCUGUGCUUGGCACUAAAUUAUGAAGAAAAGAGAAUUAUUCUGGAUAAACAUAACUUCUACCGAUCCCAGACUGAGCCUUCAGCAUCAGACAUGAUAAAACUGACCUGGGACUCGGCUUUAGAGGCGAUGGCCAAAUCCUAUGCGGAGAAGUGCAUCUGGGAACAUAACAAGGACAGAGGAUUCAUUGGGGAAAACCUGUUUGUGAUGUCUGGGUCAUCGCUGGACGUGGCGCUGGGUCUGGACGACUGGCACAAAGAGCGGGGUUACUAUAACUUUACUACAGGGAUGUGCCAGGAAGGGCAGAUGUGCGGCCACUAUACCCAGAUGGUCUGGGCUGGGACAGAACGGGUCGGAUGUGGCCAGAACUUCUGUCCGAAGCUUGAAGGUGUCGAUGACGAAAACAUGUACCUGUUGGUGUGUAACUAUGAACCCCCGGGCAAUUUUGAGGGCGAGAGCCCCUACAAGGAGGGCAGUAGAUGCACUGAGUGUCCCUCUGACCACGUGUGCAUAGGAUCUUUGUGUGAGAACAUGAACGAGACAGAGAAGAGCAGUCAAGUUGCAGGGAUCACCCCCUGGGCAGAUUCUGCCAGUGUAAGCCCGGCCGGCAUACGAGUGGACGGAACACACACAAACCCAGUACAGGCAAUGGAAGAUACCAGUCCAACACGUAGUUCUCAGCCAGAACCUACUGGCAGCCAAAUAGCCUGGCUCCAACCAACAGAAAGCUCCAUAGCAAAGGGAAUCACGCUAAAGCAGCCAAUGGACAUUGUUUCCUCUCCCCUGGGAUCUGAAGGCUUUAGUGCAAAACAGAAAACAGAAGAGAACGGUCCAACACAACCACAUACGGAUCAAAGUUCUACAGAACAUGUUACAAGUCCAUAUUCUGUAACACCAGGAUCAAACACAAAAGGACUUCUAGAGAGAACAGUGACCCAAUCUGUGCCUUCAACUCCUCAGCCAGACCAUUCAUCCUCCUCGGCACUAACUUUGCCUUUCAACCUGCUGCCUUCAGAUAAACCUUUCUCUGAUAAACCAAGAGCCCAUCCAGUAGUCAGAAAACCAGAAACACAGAAGGACCAGCCCUUCCAACCACAGAGAAAGACAUCAAACUUUCCACCAAGUCAACCAAACCCUAAGGCCAAAGGCAAUGGCUCCCUGUCAUCAGCUUCAGCUAGCCAAGGCAAGAGUGACCAGUACAAAGCAUUCUCUAAAAAGAACCUCACCUUCAGACCAGCUAAACCCCCAACUGCCAAGAAAUGGUUCCACCAGUCCAUCAGGUCAGGUAAGAGCCAACCCAUUCCCCAACUGCCAAGAAAUGGUUCCACCAGUCCAUCAGGUCAGGUAAGAGCCAACCCAUUCCCCAACUGCCAAGAAAUGGUUCCACCAGUCCAUCAGGUCAGGUAAGAGCCAACCCAUUCCCCAACUGCCAAGAAAUGGUUCCACCAGUCCAUCAGGUCAGGUAAGAGCCAACCCAUUCCCACAUACUGCCAAGAAAAGGUUCCACCAGUCCAUCAGGUCAGGUAAGAGCCAACCCAUUCCCCAACUGCCAAGAAAUGGUUCCACCAGUCCAUCAGGUCAGGUAAGAGCCAACCCAUUCCCACAUACUGCCAAGAAAAGGUUCCACCAGUCCAUUAGGUCAGGUAAGAGCCAACCCAUUCCCACAUACUGCCAAGAAAUGGUUCCACCAGUCCAUCAGGUCAGGUAAGACCCAACCCAUUCCCCAACUGCCAAGAAAUGGUUCCACCAGUCCAUCAAGUCAGGUAAGCCCAUUCCCCAACUGCCAAGAAAUGGUUCCACGAGUCCAUCAGGUCAGGUAAGAGCCAACCCAUUCCCCAACUGCCAAGAAAUGGUUCCACCAGUCCAUCAGGUCAGGUAAGAGCCAACCCAUUCCCCAACUGCCAAGAAAUGGUUCCACCAGUCCAUCAGGUCAGGUAAGAGCCAACCCAUUCCCCAACUGCCAAGAAAUGGUUCCACCAGUCCAUCAAGUCAGGUAAGCCCAUUCCCCAACUGCCAAGAAAUGGUUCCACCAGUCCAUCAGGUCAGGUAAGAGCCAACCCAUUCCCCAACUGCCAAGAAAUGGUUCCACCAGUCCAUCAGGUCAGGUAAGAGCCAACCCAUUCCCCAACUGCCAAGAAAUGGUUCCACCAGUCCAUCAGGUCAGAUAAAACCUACUUUGCCCACUCAGUCUAUAGACCUGGGAAACAGCGACCCUACUGCCCAUUCCCCUGCACCAAUCAGCCAAUGACAUUUUCA